rnacentral:rRNA from 4 species
UGGGGAAUAUUGCACAAUGGGGGAAACCCUGAUGCAGCAACGCCGCGUGAGUGAUGAAGGUUUUCGGAUCGUAAAGCUCUGUCUUUGGGGAAGAUAAUGACGGUACCCAAGGAGGAAGCCACGGCUAACUACGUGCCAGCAGCCGCGGUAAUACGUAGGUGGCGAGCGUUAUCCGGAUUUACUGGGCGUAAAGGGAGCGUAGGCGGAUGAUUAAGUGGGAUGUGAAAUACCCGGGCUCAACUUGGGUGCUGCAUUCCAAACUGGUUAUCUAGAGUGCAGGAGAGGAGAGUGGAAUUCCUAGUGUAGCGGUGAAAUGCGUAGAGAUUAGGAAGAACACCAGUGGCGAAGGCGACUCUCUGGACUGUAACUGACGCUGAGGCUCGAAAGCGUGGGGAGCAAACA